AACGCGAAGAACCUUACCUGGCCUUGACAUCUACGGAAUCUUGCAGAGAUGCAGGAGUGCCUUCGGGAACCGUAAGACAGGUGCUGCAUGGCUGUCGUCAGCUCGUGUCGUGAGAUGUUGGGUUAAGUCCCGCAACGAGCGCAACCCUUGUCCUUAGUUGCCAUCAUUUAGUUGGGAACUCUAAGGAGACCGCCGGUGACAAACCGGAGGAAGGUGGGGAUGACGUCAAGUCAUCAUGGCCUUUAUGGCCAGGGCUACACACGUGCUACAAUGGCAGGUACAGAGGGAAGCCAACGCGCGAGCGGGAGCCAAUCCCAGAAAGCCUGUCGUAGUCCGGAUCGGAGUCUGCAACUCGACUCCGUGAAGUCGGAAUCGCUAGUAAUCGCAGAUCAGCAUUGCUGCGGUGAAUACGUUCCCGGGCCUUGUA
rnacentral:rRNA from 1 species